UGGGGAAUAUUGGACAAUGGGCGCAAGCCUGAUCCAGCAAUGCCGCGUGAGUGACGAAGGCCUUCGGGUUGUAAAGCUCUUUCGCACGCGACGAUGAUGACGGUAGCGUGAGAAGAAGCCCCGGCUAACUUCGUGCCAGCAGCCGCGGUAAUACGAAGGGGGCUAGCGUUGUUCGGAAUUACUGGGCGUAAAGGGCGCGUAGGCGGUGCACCAAGUCAGGCGUGAAAGCCCCGGGCUCAACCUGGGAACGGCGCUUGAGACUGGUGCGCUCGAGUUCGGGAGAGGACGGUGGAAUUCCCAGUGUAGAGGUGAAAUUCGUAGAUAUUGGGAAGAACACCGAUGGCGAAGGCAGCCGUCUGGACCGACACUGACGCUGAGGCGCGAAAGCGUGGGGAGCAAACAGGAUUAGAUACCCUGGUAGUCCACGCCGUAAACGAUGAGUGCUAGACGUCGGGGCCCCUAGGGCUUCGGUGUCGCAGCCAACGCAUUAAGC
rnacentral:rRNA from 1 species